rnacentral:lncRNA from 1 species
AGUUUGUGCCUGAGGAAUUCAGGCAAGGACAUAUUGUCUUUGCUCUGCAGUGUUUGGGGCUCAGCUGGAAGACCUGAAGGCUGGGGCCUGGAAUCAUCGGGAGGCUCACCUGCUCAUGCCUGGUGGCUAUUCUGGCUGUGCCUGGGGACCUCUUUGCCACUCCACAAAGGCCUACUCCAUUUGGUCUCCCAUAUCGGAACCAGCAGUGCGCGUCUCCCAGAAUCUGAGGAGGCAUAACCCCUAACAUCUAGUUAACACGUGGCCCAGAAGGAUGGUCA